rnacentral:rRNA from 1 species
UCCGGACGGGGAGGUAKGACGAAAAAUAACAAUACGGGACUCUUUGAGACCCCGUAAUUGGAUGAGUACACUUUAAAUCCUUAACGAGGAUCCAUGGAGGGCAAGUCUGGUGCCAGCAGCCGCGGUAAUUCCAGCUCCAAUAGCGUAUAUUAAAGUUGUUGCGGUUAAAAAGCUCGUAGUUGGAUCUCAGCUCGAGCCGGGCGGUCCGCCUACCGGUGGUCACUGUCUGUGCUCGGCGUUAUCGCCGGUUUCCCCUGAUGAUCUUCACCGGUUGUCUCGGGUGACCGGCAAGUUUACUUUGAAAAAAUUAGAGUGCUCAAAGCAGGCGCGACGCCUGAAUAAUGGUGCAUGGAAUAAUGGAAUAGGACCUCGGUUCUAUUUUGUUGGUUUUCGGAACACGAGGUAAUGAUUAAGAGGGACAGACGGGGGCAUUCGUAUUGCGACGCUAGAGGUGAAAUUCUUGGACCGUCGCAAGACGAACUACUGCGAAAGCAUUUGCCAAGAAUGUUUCCAUUAAUCAAGAACGAAAGUUAGAGGUUCGAAGGCGAUCAGAUACCGCCCUAGUUCUAACCAUAAACGAUGCCAGCCAGCGAUCCGGCUGUGUUCCUCAAAUGACACGCCGGGCAGCUUCCGGGAACCAAAGCUUGUGGGUUCCGGGGAAGUAU